GGGACUCCACGCACCUUUUUGUUUUUUAGGGUUGAUUCGGUAUUAGAUUUUUAAAAACGCUUGAACGCGACCGUAAAACAAAAUUGGCGCAGUCGAUAGGACCCUUAAAAGUGUUAAAUUAAGGAUUAAGUGAAACAAACCGUGUUCAAAAAAAAAAAAACAAAAUUUUUUUCCCCCGGAAAUCCUUAUAUCCUAUAUUUUAUAUAAAUCCCAAAACUAAUUCUGUGAUUCUGUAGCCAACUCAGGAGUUAACCAGACCCUCCAGAAUAUAAAUAAUUAUAAAACAACCCGGAUAAACACAAAAUCGACACCGCCGAAGGUGCAGUGGACAUUAAUUGUGAAACGAAAUAUAAAGGACCAGUUCAGAAGUGAAAACGACCUCGAAAAAUUAAAAGGCGUUAAUUCACCAGAACAUAUAAAAAAAACAAAUUUUGUGAAUUUUUUGCAGUGAACACGUCUUAAAAGAAAAGAGCGUGGAUUCACCAAAAUUUUAAUUUGAAAAGCGAGGUAACCAAACCCAUCACAAAAAUUAAACCAUCAAGGCAGCGAGUCUUCGACAGCAGAAGAGACAUGGAGACCGCACAGACUCAAAUGGCAGCAGUCAAUUUAGUAGAGGAACUUGCCCGCAGAGAGCAACAGUUGGAGCAGAUGCGGCAAGCCUACCUUGAACUUAGAAACCGGACCGAAGAAAGUAACGGCAAUAGACAUGCCCUAAUAAAAACAGUCUACGAGCUGCCUAUAUUUACAAGGACGGGAGACAUAACCAUAAAUUCUUUUUUUAGUAGCAUUGAAUACCUGCUAUCUACAACAAAUGAUAUCGAGUAACAGAAGGAAGUGGUACAAUCUGUGCACUACAGGACCAUCCAGGGAGAAGCGAAGAGCACGAUUAUCAACAUACCGCUAUCGGACAAGUGGCAACUAAUAAAAGAAACACUAAAGCUGAGAUAUCGACCCGUUUUAGAGCCACACCAUCUUUACGAAAGGAUGGGAAACCUUAAGAUAUACCAAUUGACAGUAAUGAUACUGAUAUGGAUACCAUUAAUUGAAGGACUUUUGACAACUACAGAUAUGAUUUAUAGACAUUAAAGGUAGAAUUAGAGGUGCUAUAACAUAUCGCCAUACCCAUAACCAUUGUCAUAACCGUAACGAUAUUUACUAUUAUCGAUUAUUGGUGCCAUAACCAUAAUCAGCUGAUCUUUCAUUCGGAAUUUUUGUUUUCAUUUCAAAAGUGCCAACUAAAUAAAAUGAGCAGUGAUGAUGAAAUUGAUAAAUUAUUUCUUAAUAUUAUAGCAUUACAUGCUAAAAAAAAACAAUUCAAGCGAAUAAGGCAAUGGCGUGUCCGUCCUAUUAAUGUUAAUAGGUUCCAAAACGGAUACCAUCAAAAAACGUUCCUGAAAAUAAAAGAUAUGGAUGAACAAGAAUUGUUUGCCCAUACAAGAACGAAUAGGAAGUUGUAUGAUACUUUUUUGAAGUUAAUGACACCUUCAAUGUGUAAAUUCAAGGAACAAAUCCAUGCCGAAGAGCGUUUGUCCCUCACACUUCUGUAAGUUUAUGUGAUUAUUACUCCAUUUGUUAUAUUUAUGUAGGAAGGGAACAUAGAAGCGGACAGAAAUACCAAUAAUUACAUCCCUGACGGUUUGACCGAACUUGACGAAACUAAUUAAACGGACCCUAACACGGGCAAGAACAUAUGACAACAGCACAGUCGAGAUUGAACAGCGCCGCGAGCAAGACCUAAUGUUUGAAAACUAAGAAUGUUAAAUAGUAUACAAAAGUGUUUAAAAGUUAAGAUUAUAAAAAGUAAAACAUAUGUACGAAAACUGAAAUUUUAAAAUAAAUAUUUGUAACGUGAAACAAAGAAAAAAUAAACAAUAAAAGACUAUUUUCUACAUUUAUUAAGGUGAUUGUUAGGGACUUAGCAUACGGAAUUCCUUUCAAAAAAUUAGCAUGGAGCUACAAAAUCGGAAAGACCACUGUGAGAAACAUAGUGCUGGAGACAUGUGAGGCUAUUUUUAUCUGAAUGAACGCGCGCAACAACAGUAUAAAACAUCACGACAGACUUUGCGCAAAUGUGGAACAUGCCAAACUGUGUAGGUGCGAUCGAGGGAAAACAUAUUGCGAUAAAAUACCCUCCAAAUUCAGGAUCCAUGUAUGAGGGAUGAGAAUUAAGGUCAGUGUGGCAACCACUUAUCCAAAUGUCAAACAGUGGAUGGCAUUUGUGGAUUAAGUAGAAGUUGUGGGCGGUAAGGCUAGCGUCCAUCAUAGCGUAAGUUAAUAUUGUCAUUCCAUAUUGUAACGCCGUCAGUAACGCAUCGUAAGCGCAACUUGAAGUUUUCAGUGACAUUUCCAAGUAAUUGAUAUACGUGUGCAGUUAAAUUAUUUCAUUUUCUAUAUUAAAUAAACGUUGUUGAAUACCAAUUGAAAGUGUCGAGUUUUAUGUUGCUUACCAGGUCGCGCAUGGCCUGGUUUAUGUGCCUUUGGCCAGCCAUCAUGUUCUCCAGUUCUUUUAUCUUCCUACCCAACUGGUUAAAGUUUUGGGUAGUUUCGCUACUUUGUAUUUUUCCAGAGGGUUUGCCACCUUCAAUUAUGUGGUUGGCAUUUUCGCAUUCUCUUUUUGAUCCAGCAACGCUGGAUAUCUCGUUUUUUUCGUUAGGAGGUGUUCUCAUAAUUUUUGAGUUCCUUUUAAAGGGAUUCUCGGGGGUGCAUCCACAACUGUUCUCAGAGGCCAUACCUCAAUGAGAAAAUAGUUGGAAGCUACUGACAGUAAGUAUGUUCAGUCACUGCCCCUAAAACCUUGCUUAUAUUUUCAAUAGUUGGCAAUGCCAAAACCAAAGGGAAUACGAAAAAGGAGAAACAAAAGGAGAACAGCUGAUCAAAACAUGACGGCAAUGCAAAAGUAUUAGCACGCGUUUUGUCAGGUUUGCUGUUUUCAGGGGAAAAAUAAUAUUUUUUCAACAAAAUAUACGCGGUGUCCGUUUGGAUCGUUGAAGUUUCCGAAAGCCUCAGAUAAGAUAUGAACUAUAGUCGGUGUUAAGACUGGAAGUUUAAAAAAAAUACCCCAGGACCUCACCAAAAACACAACCACCUCACUUGAACGUAACUAUAUAUAUGGUUUGUAUUCUCUCGCGCUCUAUUUGCAUCUUUUCCCGUUCAAGCUCUAUAAUCUGAUCGUGCCUUUCCUUUUCAUUUUUAGCUUCUUCCUUAAGGAAUUCCAGAGAGAGAUCCCCGCUUUAAGGAUUUUGUAAUCCCUUUAAUGCGGAAGAAGGUGUCAAAACUGUGCAGCAUGAACUGUUUACAAAACUACCUGCAAACCCACUACAUCCGCCAACAUCACCAACACAGGAACAAAGCCGAUUUUCAUUUCUACAAGUCAAAAGCCAUUAUCCUGAUGAGACAACAUUUUGAAAAAGAGAACCAGUCGGAAAAAUGCGACCCGUACUGGCAGAUUACUACAGAUGGCGACGCGUUUAAAACGUUAGCUAAAAAAUAGUUCUGCGUUCCCGCAUCUUCGUGCGAAUCUGAAAGAGUUUUCAGUAAAGCUGGACAACUUACUAUAAGUGAGCGUCGCACGAGUUACCUUCUCUACCCUAUUUGUAUAGACGCUGAGAGUUUAGGAGAAGAGAAGAGAGAAUCGCGAAGCAGCUACAUAUUUUUAGAGAGAAUCGCGAAGCGGCUAUUUUUCUGAAUUCAUUCGUGCGUAAACCUUGAUACUGGUAACUAGUGUCCCACCGCAAUAAUCUUUGAAGUCAAGCGCUACAAUGUAACUCGACAGAAAUAUAAGCACUUUACCUUUAAUUUCCAACUUCUGGAGAUACCAGUGAACAUUGAUACUGGUAACUCACGCGGCUAUCAUCGACCGUUGUCGAUAAGAGGAGCUUAUCUUAAACAAAAACAAGCAUGUAAAUAAUAUGUAAAUAUAUAUAGUAGAGUUCGGGAUAGUAAGUAAGGAUAGUAAAAUAAGCAAUAGUAUAGUAGGGAUAGCACAAUAUCCUAAAGAACUAUUAUUUUCUUUGGACCUUGUAUAUAUUAUAUAUAUAUAUGUAUAGUGACGUAUUCUGCCAUACACACACUA
rnacentral:lncRNA from 1 species